rnacentral:rRNA from 1 species
CACGUAUUUAGCCGGUGCUUCUUCGUCGGGUACCGUCAUCGUUCUCCCCCGCCGAAAGGGCUUUACGCGCCGAGGCGCUCCCUCGCCCACGCGGCGUCGCUGCAUCAGGGUUCCCCCCAUUGUGCAAUAUCCCCCACUGCUGCCUCCCGUAGGAGUUUGGGCCGUGUCUCAGUCCCAAUGUGGCCGGUCGCCCUCUCAGGCCGGCUACCGAUCGUCGCCUUGGUGGGCCGUUGCCCCGCCAACAAGCUAAUCGGACGCGGGCCCAUCCCGCACCGCCGCAGCUUUCCGCCGGGGGCCAUGCGGCCCCCGCCGUGUAUGCGGUAUUAGCGGCCGUUUCCGGCCGUUGUCCCCCGAGUGCGGGGCAGGUUGCCCACGCGUUACUCACCCGUCCGCCACUAAGUCACGCACGGCUCGCCCCGAGGGGUCCGCCACGCGCGCUCCGUUCGACUUGCAUGUGUUAGGCACGCCGCCAGCGUUCAUCCUGAGCCAGGAUCAAACUC